GACGAACGCUGGCGGCGUGCCUAAUACAUGCAAGUCGAGCGAGCGGCGGACGGGUGAGUAAUGUAUGGGGACUGCCCGAUAGAGGGGGAUAACUACUGGCAACGGUGGCUAAUACCGCAUACUAUCGGAUAACCCAUAUGGGAUUAGCUAGUAGGUGGGGUAAAGGCUCACCUAGGCGACGAUCUCUCGCUGGUCUGAGAGGAUGAUCAGCCAAACUUGGACUGAAACAGGGCCCAGACUGCUACGGAGGCAGCAGUGGGGAAUAGUGCACAAUGUGCUCAAGCCUGCUGCAGCCAUGCCGCGUGUAUGAAGAAGGCCUUAGGGUUGUAAAGUACUUUCAGCGGGGAGGCGGUACCCGAAGAAGAAGCACCGGCUAACUCCGUGCCAGCAGCCGCGGUAAUAC
rnacentral:rRNA from 1 species